GAGGAGGUCUUCAGUUGCAUGCGUUCAAGGAAGAGAUUAUGUUUACAGGAAAUGGACAGCACCCCAAGUAGUAAUGAUUUAAAGAAAUUGCUGAUUGCAGAUGCCAAACAAAAGUUUAUUUCACGGAUACCAGAACCUCUAAAAGAAGACCUUAUUAAAAAGCUUCAACUAUUUAGCCAAGAAAAGUAACAUUGGUGGAUCUCUUCUCUUUUAAUCGGGCGGUAGCUGUGCUGAGAAAAAACCCUAUCUUGGUUCUUGAUGUACAUCCAUAUAAUGCUAAGACUAAGAGAUGCAGUCACAAUCUAUAUAACAAAAUUCAUUCUGUUGUAAUUGUUCCUUCUGAUGGAAAUGGAAUGUGUGGAUGGUGAUACAUGAAGAAUAUGUCCUAUACUCUGUUCAAGCAAGCAUUGGCAUCGUUGAGAAUUCGUC
rnacentral:misc_RNA from 1 species